rnacentral:rRNA from 1 species
CGACGCCGCGUGAGGGAAGAAGGUCUUCGGAUUGUAAACCUCUUUUCUUAGGGAAGAAUAAAAUGACGG